rnacentral:rRNA from 1 species
GUGGGGAAUAUUGGGCAAUGGGGGCAACCCUGACCCAGCAACGCCGCGUGAGGGAAGAAGGUUUUCGGAUUGUAAACCUCUGUCCUAUGGGAAGAAGGCAGUGACGGUACCAUAGGAGGAAGCCCCGGCUAACUACGUGCCAGCAGCCGCGGUAAUACGUAGGGGGCGAGCGUUGUCCGGAAUUACUGGGCGUAAAGGGUGCGCAGGUGGCCUGACAAGUCAGAUGUGAAAUACCGAUGCUUAACGUCGGGGCUGCAUUUGAAACUAUGAGGCUGGAGUGCAGGAGAGGGAAGCGGAAUUCCUAGUGUAGCGGUGAAAUGCAUAGAUAUUAGGAGGAACACCAGUGGCGAAGGCGGCUUUCUGGACUGUAACUGACACUGAGGCACGAAAGCGUGGGGAGCAAACAGGAUUAGAUACCCCAGUAGUCC